UACGAGGACCGUUCGUAAAGACGAACAGUUAAUGCUCUCACAAUCGACUCGAUUACGUCCACCGUGAGCUUAUUCUUCCAAGACCUACCGUACACACACAGAAUACAUUUUUACAUCAUUAUCGAAAAUGCGUGAAUGUAUAUCAAUCCACGUCGGACAGGCUGGUGUCCAAAUCGGCAAUGCAUGCUGGGAAUUGUACUGUCUGGAACACGGUAUCCAGCCUGAUGGCCAGAUGCCAAGUGACAAGACCAUUGGUGGCGGUGACGAUUCUUUCAAUACUUUCUUCAGUGAGACUGGAGCUGGGAAACACGUGCCACGUGCAGUGUUUGUAGAUCUGGAACCUACAGUAGUGGAUGAAGUACGGACUGGUACAUACCGUCAACUGUUCCACCCAGAACAACUGAUCACUGGUAAAGAAGAUGCCGCCAACAACUACGCACGUGGCCACUACACCAUUGGGAAAGAAAUCAUCGAUCUGGUGUUGGACAGAGUACGAAAACUAGCUGACCAGUGUACCGGUUUACAAGGGUUCUUAGUCUUCCACAGCUUCGGUGGUGGCACUGGGUCCGGUUUUACUUCGCUUUUGAUGGAACGUCUGUCUGUUGACUAUGGCAAGAAGUCGAAGCUUGAGUUUGCCGUUUAUCCAGCCCCACAAGUGUCGACAGCGGUUGUCGAACCAUAUAAUUCAAUCCUGACAACCCACACAACCCUGGAGCAUUCAGACUGUGCUUUCAUGGUCGACAACGAGGCCAUCUACGAUAUAUGUCGUCGGAAUUUGGACAUAGAACGUCCAACCUACACCAAUCUCAACCGUCUGAUUGGUCAAAUCGUCUCUUCCAUUACUGCUUCCCUGCGUUUUGAUGGCGCCCUUAAUGUCGAUUUGACUGAGUUUCAGACCAAUUUAGUACCCUAUCCACGUAUUCACUUCCCGUUGGCUACAUAUGCCCCUGUGAUUUCUGCUGAGAAGGCCUACCACGAGCAGUUGUCCGUUUCUGAGAUCACCAACGCCUGCUUCGAGCCAGCCAACCAGAUGGUGAAAUGCGAUCCACGUCACGGCAAGUACAUGGCUUGCUGUCUUUUAUUCCGUGGGGAUGUCGUACCAAAAGAUGUCAACGCAGCCAUCGCUACGAUCAAGACCAAACGUACAAUCCAGUUUGUCGACUGGUGCCCAACUGGUUUCAAAGUUGGUAUCAACUACCAACCACCAACCGUUGUUCCCGGUGGUGACUUGGCUAAAGUACAACGCGCCGUCUGCAUGUUGAGCAACACCACAGCCAUCGCCGAGGCCUGGCUCGUCUCGACCACAAAUUCGACUUGAUGUACGCUAAGCGUGCUUUCGUC